AUUGAGCGCUGGCGGCAGGCCUAACACAUGCAAGUCGAACGGUAACAGGAAGACGCUUGCUUCUUUGCUGACGAGUGGCGGACGGGUGAGUAAUGUCUGGGAAACUGCCUGAUGGAGGGGGAUAACUACUGGAAACGGUAGCUAAUACCGCAUAACGUCGCAAGACCAAAAAGGGGGACCUUCGGGCCUCUUGCCAUCGGAUGUGCCCAGAUGGGAUUAGCUAGUAGGUGGGGUAACGGCUCACCUAGGCGACGAUCCCUAGCUGGUCUGAGAGGAUGACCAGCCACACUGGAACUGAGACACGGUCCAGACUCCUACGGGAGGCAGCAGUGGGGAAUAUUGCACAAAGGGCGCAAGCCUGAUGCAGCCAUGCCGCGUGUAUGAAGAAGGCCUUCGGGUUGUAAAGUACUUUCAGCGGGGAGGAAGGGAGUAAAGUUAAUACCUUUGCUCAUUGACGUUACCCGCAGAAGAAGCACCGGCUAACUCCGUG
rnacentral:rRNA from 1 species